rnacentral:rRNA from 1 species
ACUCCUACGGGAGGCAGCAGUGAGGAAUAUUGGUCAAUGGACGCAAGUCUGAACCAGCCAUGCCGCGUGCAGGAUGACGGCCCUACGGGUUGUAAACUGCUUUUAUACGGGAAUAAUGUGUCCUACGUGUAGGAUUUUGAAGGUACCGUACGAAUAAGGAUCGGCUAACUCCGUGCCAGCAGCCGCGGUAAUACGGAGGAUCCAAGCGUUAUCCGGAUUCAUUGGGUUUAAAGGGUCCGUAGGCGGGUCUUUAAGUCAGAGGUGAAAGCCUGCAGCUCAACUGUGGAACUGCCUUUGAUACUGGAGAUCUUGAGUGUGCGUGAAGUAGGCGGAAUAAGUCAUGUAGCGGUGAAAUGCAUAGAUAUGACUUAGAACACCGAUUGCGAAGGCAGCUUACUAAAGCACUACUGACGCUGAGGGACGAAAGCGUGGGGAGCGAACAGGAUUAGAUACCCUGGUAGCGAGUAG